rnacentral:rRNA from 1 species
AUACGUAGGGGGCGAGCGUUGUCCGGAAUUACUGGGCGUAGAGGGUGCGUAGGCGGUUCUUUAAGUUGGAUGUGAAAUACCCGGGCUUAACCUGGGGGGUGCAUUCAAAACUGGGGAACUAGAGUUCAGGAGAGGGAAGCGGAAUUCCUAGUGUAGCGGUGAAAUGCGUAGAUAUUAGGAGGAACACCAGUGGCGAAGGCGGCUUUCUGGACUGACACUGACGCUGAGGCACGAAAGCGUGGGGAGC